AGAUGUUGGGUUAAGUCCCGUAACGAGCGCAACCCUUGUCCUUAGUACCAGCACGUUAUGGUGGGCACUCUAAGGAGACUGCCGGUGACAAACUGGAGGAAGGUGGGGGAUGACGUCAAGUCAUCAUGGCCCUUACGGCCUGGGCUACACACGUGCUACAAUGGUCGGUACAAAGGGUUGCCAAGCCGCGAGGUGGAGCUAAUCCCAUAAAACCGAUCGUAGUCCGGAUCGCAGUCUGCAACUCGACUGCGUGAAGUCGGAAUCGCUAGUAAUCGUGAAUCAGAAUGUCACGGUGAAUACGUUCCCGGGCCUU
rnacentral:rRNA from 1 species